rnacentral:rRNA from 1 species
GAUGAACGCUGACAGAAUGCUUAACACAUGCAAGUCUACUUGAACUUCGGUUUGGGUGGCGGACGGGUGAGUAACGCGUAAAGAACUUGCCUCACAGUUAGGGACAACAUUUGGAAACGAAUGCUAAUACCUGAUAUUAUGAUUUUAGGGCAUCCUAGGAUUAUGAAAGCUAUAUGUGCUGUGAGAGAGCUUUGCGUCCCAUUAGCUAGUUGGAGAGGUAACGGCUCACCAAGGCGAUGAUGGGUAGCCGGCCUGAGAGGGUGAACGGCCACAAGGGGACUGAGACACGGCCCUUACUCCUCCGGGAGGCAGCAGUGGGGAAUAUUGGACAAUGGACCAAAAGUCUGAUCCAGCAAUUCUGUGUGCACGAUGACGUUUUUCGGAAUGUAAAGUGCUUUCAGUUGGGAAGAAAAAAAUGACGGUACCAACAGAAGAAGUGACGGCUAAAUACGUG